rnacentral:lncRNA from 1 species
GGGUUCUAGAGAAGAAGAGGAUUGGGAUCCUACUUCUUGUGCAAAGGAAAUUCUGUGUGAAUCUCUUGUAGAGCGAUCUCGUGUGAUCGUUCGGGUGUGUGCCAUCUCUGUAAUCAAUUCAUCCUAGUUGAGAUUUGGAGCGGUGGAGGACGUAGGCUAUUUGUAGCCGAACCUCGUUACAUCUUUGUGUUUGCUUUGCUAUCUUCUUCUUCCUUCUUCUUUUGUGUUUGAUAAUCCGCUGCGGUGCUCAAGUGCUUUACCCUUACUGAUACCAGGGUAAUCUUUUGCCCUUCGUACGGAUAAGCGAAGAGGUGAUCCUUGAGUCCGGUGUCGAGGGAGCGAGAGAGUUAUUCUCUCUUUGUUUUCCGACGUUGGUGGGCAGUGCCGGUGUGAGUGGGUUCCGGUGCGGGUCGCUGCCAACAAGCCCCCCGCGGGGUGCGGGACCCCCGAUCGGCGUGUGAGGGACGGGCGUCCGGGCGGGCCCCGUUUCCAACUUCCCUCGGAACAUUAAAACCCCCCGACCCCCUCGGUCUUCGCUCCGACCCUAUCGCUAUUGCUCGGAUAUGUGCAUCCACCGUCCCUCGUUGCCUUCGGUUAUCUACCCCAGGGUG